CAACAAAGCCAGUCCACCGGACCUUCUGUAUUCCACAGAGUUCCAGGUGGUACCGGUCCAGCUCCCGACAGAGGAGCGGCAGCCUCUCCUCCACACCAGGACCAGUCCCACGAAUCUCCACAGAGGUCCAGGCGGUACCGGUCCAGCUCCCGACGGAGGAGUGGCAGCCUCUCCUCCGUGUCGAGCGUCGUUCGGAC